UUGGACCAGUCCACCAAGGCUAACUCUCCUCUCUUCCUCCCCUCCAGGUGUUGUUGGACCAGUCCACCAAGGCUAACUCUCCUCUCUUCCUCCCCUACAGGUGUUGUUGGACCAGUCCACCAGGGCUAACUCUCCUCUCUUCCUCCCCUACAGGUGUUGUUGGACCAGUCCACCAAGGCUAACUCUCCUCUCUUCCUCCCCUACAGGUGUUGUUGGACCAGUCCACCAAGGCUAACUCUCCUCUCUUCCUCCCCUACAGGUGUUGUUGGACCAGUCCACCAAGGCUAACUCUCCUCUCUUCCUCCCCUACAGGUGUUGUUGGACCAGUCCACCAAGGUUAACUCUCCUCUCU